GGCCCUGUGGCGGAAUUGGUAGACGUCUUCGGCUUAGAACCGAAGGUCCUUAACGGGCGUGAGGGUUCGAGUCCCUCCGGGGCCA
rnacentral:tRNA from 2 species